rnacentral:lncRNA from 1 species
GGGAGGGAGGGAGGGAGAAAUAGAAGGGGAGAAUGGGGGAGGAGGGAGAGAGAGCAAAAGAAAAAAUAUAAUAAUCAUAAUUCUAUUCCAUGUUUCGUAAAUAGAAUAUAAUACAAUAAUAUAUUAUUUUAACAUUAUAGAGAAAGAGGUAACAAGGCAAGCGGAGAGGAAAGGACAUAAGGAGACAAAUAGAAAAGAGAAGACAGGAAAAUGAAAGAAAAUGAUAUUGUAUAAUUAUAAUUAUAUUCUAUA